UAAAGUAUUAUAUAUUAAUGCUGGGAAUAGUAGUGUAGGACAAGAGAUAGGAAGGCCAUUAUUUGAGCACAAAAACAAUACGGCUUCAAUUUUUGGAGUGUCCUCUUCGUAGAUCGAUCUCUCGUUCAUGGGUAUAUUUAGAGGUUUUUUGAAAAGUAAUCACCUUACAAAUCCAUUUUUGAAAAAUAACAAAAUAAAAAAAAUAAAAAUAAAAACCCACUUUUAACAUAUUUGGUCCAAAAUAUCCUUUAUUAAGUUUUUUUUUUCUUUUAUUUUUUAUUUUUGUUCUCUAUCAAAACACAUUUUUUUUCUUUCUGUUCUUUUCGUUUUUGUUUUAUUUAUUUAUUUAUUAUUAUUUUUUUUUUUUGGCUCUCUUGGCUUUCAAAAUGCAACUAGGGUUUCCUUUCUAGUUUCCUUUUCAAAAAUCACAAUCAUGGUCACCACCCAGAGGCAGAGGAGCGCACACCAUUAUAAUCGUCGAUCGCUAUACUCCGACCUCUCCAGUCAUUGCAGCAGCCGUAGGUACCGCCACAACCACCAAUUUUGUAUCUAAGGUCUUCUUAUUGAAUUGUUGGGAUAAAACUUUUCCUCUGCAAGGGCCUCGUGCAAUGAACCCCCUACCAGCGAUUGUUCGUCGUCGUAAAGCAGCCCCCCUAAAGCUUUUGGGAUUUUCAGGAAGAGGGGUGGUCCUGUGUGUAAGCAUAGUGUUUCUGGUCGAACACACCCACCCCAACUAAGAAGAAUCGAACGAAAUUGCCCAACUCCCAAUCUUGUGUUAUCAUGGGUUCUAUGGGUUUCAUGGGCUUUGUGAAUGUUAUUUCUGCAGUAUCAUGAUGCUCCAUUGAUGUUUAAAAAUUAAAAACUAAAAUUUUGUUUUUGUUUUUGAAAGAAAAAUGCACAGAAAAGCUGGUUUGAACGAAAUGUAGAAUCUGUUGAGUUGCUUAUGGAUGACGAUGAGAUUGAUGAGGAAAAAGUGAAGAACCAUAAGCAAAAAAAAGUCAUUUUGGUUGAAGAGAUUAAGUCUUUUUUGAAUUCUGUUUGGAAUGUUGUAUGCUCUUAUAGUCCGAGGGAGACGAAUCAAGCAGCUUAUUAUCAAUCCUGGCUAGAAGUUGACCCGUGUGGCUAGGUUUUAUCGGGAAAAAAAAAUGUAUUUUGAAAUGUUUUCAUUUAUUUUAUCUUUUUUUUUUUUUGGUCAACAUGAAACUUAUUAUUACUACAUCUGUGGAGAGGGGAUCUUACCCAGGUUGGUAUAUUCUCAAUGCUUUUUGCCACCGCCCAGCGUAUUAAUAAAUUGAAUUUUUUUUAUUGAUCACUAUACUUCUCUAUAUGUAUUGUAGGCUUUAUUAUUUUGUUAUAAAAUUAUGAGGACAUUAAGUUGGUA